rnacentral:rRNA from 1 species
AGAGUUUGAUCAUGGCUCAGGACGAACGCUGGCGGCGUGCCUAACACAUGCAAGUCGAGCGAAUGAAGUUCCUUCGGGAACGGAUUUAGCGGCGGACGGGUGAGUAACACGUGGGCAACCUGCCUCAUAGAGGGGAAUAGCCUUCCGAAAGGAAGAUUAAUACCGCAUAAGAUUGUAGUACCGCAUGGUACAGCAAUUAAAGGAGCAAUCCGCUAUGAGAUGGGCCUGCGGCGCAUUAGCUAGUUGGUGAGGUAACGGCUCACCAAGGCAACGAUGCGUAGCCGACCUGAGAGGGUGAUCGGCCACAUUGGGACUGAGACACGGCCCAGACUCCUACGGGAGGCAGCAGUGGGGAAUAUUGCACAAUGGGGGAAACCCUGAUGCAGCAACGCCGCGUGAGUGAUGACGGCCUUCGGGUUGUAAAGCUCUGUCUUCAGGGACGAUAAUGACGGUACCUGAGGAGGAAGCCACGGCUAACUACGUGCCAGCAGCCGCGGUAAUACGUAGGUGGCGAGCGUUGUCCGGAUUUACUGGGCGUAAAGAGAGCGUAGGCGGAUUUUUAAGUGAGAUGUGAAAUACUCGGGCUUAACCUGAGUGCUGCAUUUCAAACUGGAAGUCUAGAGUGCAGGAGAGGAGAAGGGAAUUCCUAGUGUAGCGGUGAAAUGCGUAGAGAUUAGGAAGAACACCAGUGGCGAAGGCGCUUCUCUGGACUGUAACUGACGCUGAGGCUCGAAAGCGUGGGGAGCAAACAGGAUUAGAUACCCUGUAGUCCACGCCGUAAACGAUGAAUACUAGUGUAGGGUUGUCAUGACCUCUGUGCCUCCGCUGACGCAUUAAGUAUUCCGCCUGGGGAGUACGGUCGCAAGAUUAAAACUCAAAGGAAUUGACGG